UACGUAGGGGCCUAGCGUUGUCCGGAUUUAUUGGGCGUAAAGAGCUCGUAGGCGGUUCGGUAAGUCAGGUGUGAAAUCUCCACGCUCAACGUGGAGGCGCCACCUGAAACUGCCGUGACUCGAGUCCGGUAGGGGAGUGUGGAAUUCCAGGUGUAGCGGUGAAAUGCGUAGAUAUCUGGAGGAACACCGGUGGCGAAGGCGGCAUCCUGGACCAAUUCUGACGCUGAGGAGCGAAAGCCAGGGGAGCAAACGGG
rnacentral:rRNA from 1 species